rnacentral:rRNA from 1 species
UACAGAGGUCUCAAGCGUUGUUCGGAUUCAUUGGGCGUAAAGGGUGCGUAGGUGGCGCUGUAAGUCGGGUGUGAAAUUUCGGAGCUUAACUCCGAAACUGCAUUCGAUACUGCGGUGCUUGAGGACUGGAGAGGAGACUGGAAUUCAUGGUGUAGCAGUGAAAUGCGUAGAGAUCAUGAGGAAGACCAGUGGCGAAGGCGGCUCUCUGGACCGACACUGACGCUGAGGCGCGAAAGCGUGGGGAGCAAACAGG